GGUGGGCAACUGGGGCAGCUUAAGCAGGGCAGGAGAGUCUAUCAGAGCAGCUCGGCCAGGGGAGGAGAGCAAAGGGAACCACCGCAGGCUUCUGAGCAUGGAGGUGCAUGAACACGCAGCCUCCUUAGGUGGCUGCUCUCGGGCCUCUCACCUGUCCCUCUGACAGGUUUCACUGCCAGGUGUUCCUGCCUGCUGCCCUACUGGAGAGCCUCACAAUCUUUUGAGACAGAGUCUUGCUCUGUCGCCCAGGCUGGAGUGCAAUGGCACAAUCUUGGCUCACUGCAACCUCCGCCUCCCGGGUUCAAGCGAUUCCCCUGCCUCAGUCUCCUGAGUAGUUGCAACUACAGGCACAUGUCACCAUGUCCGGCUAAUUUUUCGUAUUUUAGUAGAAACAGGGUUUCAUCAUGUUGGCCAGGAUGGUCUCAAUCACCUGACUUCGUGAUCCACCAACCUCGGCCUCCCAAAGUGCUGAGAAUACAGGUGUGAGCCCCCGUGCCCAGCCAGCCCUGCACUCUUUACAAAUCUGCCUUCCCACAAGACCAUCUACACCCCGUCUGCUGGUUCCGUCCCCCGGCAGCCCCACCUAAGAGACAACUGAACUCUCCUCUGUCGCCCACAUCUGGUAUUCAGGGUUUCUCGAAUGGUCUCUCUGGUGGCCCCAGACAGCUCCUUCUGCCCUCAGUCCUGGACCUUCCCAAGUCUUUGCUGCAGUAUUUCCCAGGCCCCCUUUCUCUCGCAGAUCCCACACUAGCGUGUCUGGGACCAGGAAGGACACAAGCAGUGACCCCUAACUCAGCAGACAGGGCAGCCUCACUCCCUUGCUGAAGAGGGCACAGGGCGAGGGGCAGGGGGCCUGGCGUGGAUCCAGGCAGCAGGAGUCAGGGAGAGGAUGGUGCUCAAAGGCUCUGGGUUGGGGGGAUGGAGACCCCCAAUCUGACACCCCUUAAACAAGACAGAAAACAUAGGCCAGGCAGGACCCAGAGAGGAUGGAGAAGGGGGCUGUGGCCAGAGAUGAGAAAAGGGGAAGUCCUGGUAGGGCCAUGUGGGUGGGGCCCUGAGGAGGUUGCGGGAGGCUGGAGGGCACAGAGCCAGGGAGAGGGAAAGGGCCUGAGGCCUGGUGGGUGGAGAAGGCUGGAAGAGGGCCCUGGUGGGGAGGGCCGGGUGGCUAACUGGGCAGGUUAGGAACGUUCCAGUCCUUACCCCCUUCAACACCUCCUCCAGGUGGUCCCGGAACUGCAUAAAGAGGUUGAUCUUCCAGCUGGUGUUGCAGUUCACAGAGUUGACCUGGGAAAGGGGGACAGACCCAUCAUGCCAGGCAGGCCCCAGCCACUGAGGGCCCAGAGAGGAGCUGAAGGGAAGGACCAGCCUAGCCACCAUUACAGCACAAGGACAGCCGGCGUUGUCGCUGAGCUCAUAAUUGCUGGCAUGCAGAGGCUGCCCAGCGUUGACAGGAUUCAGGAUCACCUUGUCCCCCACAACCACCUGGGCAGACAGGCAUGGCAGCUUCCAGAAGGGCUGGAUGAAGAGCCAGGAGCCCUGGUUGCCCGUGGCAUCCAGGCUCACCUGCAUGGCGUUCUUCUCCAGCAAGGCCGGAAGCCGCUUGUUCACCGUCAGGGUCUCGCUCUGUCACCCAGACUGGAGUGCAGUGGUGCGAUCAUGACUCACUUCAAUCUCUACUUCCUGGGAACAAGCAAUCCUCCCACCCCAGCCUCUUGAGUAGCUGGGACCUCAGACACACCCUGCUAAUUUCUGUAUUUUUUUAAGAGACAGGGUCUCCCUAUGUUGCCCAGUGUGGUUUGGAACUUCUGGGCUCAAGCCAUCCACCCACCUCAGCCUCCCAAAGUGCUGAGAUUAUGGGUGUGAGCCACCACGUCCAGCCUAUUUAAUUUUUUUUUUUUUUGAGACAGGGUCUCCCUAUGUUGCCCAGUCUGGUCUCAGGUGAUCCACCCACCACAGCCUCCCAAAUUGCUGGAAUUACAGGCAUCAGCCACAGUGCUUGGCCCUAUUUUCCUUUUCUUUUUGAGACAGGAUCUUACUCUGUCACCCAAGCUGGAGUGCAGUGGUGUGAUCUCGGCUCACUGCAACCUCCACCGCCUGGAUUCAAGUGAUUCUCCUGCUUCAGCCUCCUGAGUAGCUGGAAUUACAGGCAUCCACUACCACACCCGGCUAAUUUUUUGUAUUUUUAGUAGAGACACAGUUGUCACCGAGUUAGCCAGGAUGAUCUCUAUUUUCUGACCUCAAGAACUGCCCGCCUCCGCCUCCCAAAGUGCUGGGAUUACCGGCCUGAGCCACCACGCCUGGUGGCAUUAUUUUCCAUUUUAAGAAUUAAGCAACACUUCAUUCCAUAAAAUAGAAUAAAUGUUCCAACGAGCUCAGCAGAAGAGGAUGGCUUUUGUGGUUUUUUUGUUGGUUUUUUUUUUUGAGACACAGUCUCACUCUGCGGCCCAGGCUGGAAUGCAGUGGGGUGAUCUCUGCUCACUGAAACCUCUAUCUCGCAGGUUCAAGCUAUUCUGCCUCCGCCUCCCAAGCAGCUGGGAUUACAGGCCCGUGCCACCACAUCAAGCUAAUUUUUGUAUUUUUAGUAGAGAUGGGGUUUUACUAUGUUGGGCAGGCUGGUCUGGAACUCCUGAUCUCAGGGGAUCCACUUACCUUGGCCUCCCAAAGCUCUAGGAUUACAGGUGUCAGCUACUACACCUGGCCUGAG